UAAGGAUUCACCUUGUUGCCAGCUUGUAACAAUUGAUGCUUACGAAAAAUAUUUUUAGAGCACUUUCAAUCUGAUGGCCAUCCGUCUUUUAUGAACACUUUACCGGGUCAUAGUACAGUAGGUCCUGUCGCUUAUGAACACUUAGUAAUCAUUAAGUACAUUAUGGUGACAAUAACUUAUCGCAUGUGACGUAGUACCGUAUUUAUUUUUACUAUAAUUAUACUAUCUUAUCAAAAGUCGAACGAGCUAACCAUUGUUUAACCACUUGUUCCUCCAUCUCUUAUUUCUGAACACGCCACAUAAAGCACAAACCAACACUAAGCAGUAGAUCGCACAUCAACGAAGGCUAUGUAGUUCCUAAAAUCUUCGAUCCCACUCAUCUAGACGUCACAACUGUAUACGAAAGUAACGAAGCAGUCUGGUGACCAUGAAGUAUUUACAUAGGGAACA